rfam:Triticum aestivum genome assembly, contig: Triticum_aestivum_CS42_TGACv1_scaffold_513919_6BS
UUUCUACUCCCUCCGUUCGAAAUUACUUGUCGUAGAAAUGGAUGUAUCUAGAUGUAUUUUAGUUCUAGAUACAUCCAUUUUCGAGACAAGUAACUCCAAACGGAGGGAGUACUUU